rnacentral:rRNA from 1 species
GACGAACGCUGGCGGCGUGCCUAAUACAUGCAAGUCGAACGCAUUUUCUUUCACCGUAGCUUGCUACACCGAAAGAAAAUGAGUGGCGAACGGGCGAGUAACACGUGGGUAACCUGCCCAUCAGCGGGGGAUAACACUUGGAAACAGGUGCUAAUACCGCAUAAUUCCAUUUACCGCAUGGUAGAUGGAUGAAAGGCGCUUUUGCGUCACUGAUGGAUGGACCCGCGGUGCAUUAGCUAGUUGGUGGGGUAACGGCCUACCAAGGCUGCGAUGCAUAGCCGACCUGAGAGGGUGAUCGGCCACACUGGGACUGAGACACGGCCCAGACUCCUACGGGAGGCAGCAGUAGGGAAUCUUCGGCAAUGGACGCAAGUCUGACCGAGCAACGCCGCGUGAGUGAAGAAGGUUUUCGGAUCGUAAAACUCUGUUGUUAGAGAAGAACAAGGAUGAGAGUGGAAAGUUCAUCCCUUGACGGUAUCUAACCAGAAAGCCACGGCUAACUACGU